rnacentral:rRNA from 1 species
GACGGAGGAUGCAAGUGUUAUCCGGAAUGAUUGGGCGUAAAGCGUCCGCAGGUGGCUGUGUAAGUCUGCUGUCAAAGAGCGAAGCUCAACUUCGUAAAGGCAGUGGAAACUACACGGCUAGAGUGCGUUCGGGGCAGAGGGAAUUCCUGGUGUAGCGGUGAAAUGCGUAGAGAUCAGGAAGAACACCGGUGGCGAAGGCGCUCUGCUAGGCCGCAACUGACACUGAGGGACGAAAGCUAGGGGAGCGAAUGGG